rnacentral:rRNA from 1 species
CACGUAGGGACCAAGCGUUGUCCGGAUUUAUUUGGGCGUAAAGCGCUCGUAGGCGGUUCGGUAAGUCGGGUGUGAAACCUCCAGGCUCAACCUGGUGACGCCACCCGAUACUGCCGUGACUUGAGUUCGGUAGGGAGGCGGGAAGUUCUGGUGUAGCGGUGAAAUGCGCAGAUAUCAGGAGGAACACCAAUUGCGAAGGCAGCUCGCUGGGACGUUACUGACGCUGAGACGCGAAAGCGUGGGGAGCAAACAGG